rnacentral:rRNA from 1 species
GACGAACGCUGGCGGCGUGCUUAACACAUGCAAGUCGAGCGGAAAGGCCACUUCGGUGGUACUCGAGCGGCGAACGGGUGAGUAACACGUGAGUAAUCUGCCCCUGGCUUUGGGAUAGCCACCGGAAACGGUGAUUAAUACCGGAUACGACCACUUCUCGCAUGGGAUGGUGGUGGAAAGUUUUUUCGGCCAGGGAUGUGCUCGCGGCCUAUCAGCUUGAUGGUGAGGUAAUGGCUCACCAUGGCUUCGACGGGUAGCCGGCCUGAGAGGGUGAACGGUCAAACUGGGACUGAGACACGCCCAAGACUCCUACGGGAGGCAGCAGUGGGGAAUAUUGGACAAUGGGCGGAAGCCUGAUCCAGCAACGCCGCGUGAGGGAUGACGGCCUUCGGGUUGUAAACCUCUUUCAGCAGGGACGAAGCGCAAGUGACGGUACCUGCAGAAGAAGCACCGGCCAACUACGUGCCAGCCGCCGCCGUAA